AGCGUGGAGACAGGUGGUGCAUGGCUGUCGUCAGCUCGUGUCGUGAGAUGUUGGGUUAAGUCCCGCAACGAGCGCAACCCUCACCCCUUGUUGCCAACAGGUCAGGCUGGGCACUCUAGGGGAACUGCCCCGGUCAACGGGGAGGAAGGUGGGGAUGACGUCAAGUCAUCAUGCCCCUUACGUCCUGGGCUACACACGUGCUACAAUGGCCGGUACAAAGGGAUGCCACACCGCGAGGUAGAGCUAAACCCAAAAAGCCGGUCUAAGUUCAGAUUGGAGUCUGCAACUCGACUCCAUGAAGGAGGAAUCGCUAGUAAUCGCGUAUCAGCACGACGCGGUGAAUACGUUCCCGGGCCUUGUACACACCGCCCGUCACACCACGAAAGCCAGCUGUACUCGAAGUCGCUGAG
rnacentral:rRNA from 1 species